rnacentral:rRNA from 1 species
UACAGAGGUCUCAAGCGUUGUUCGGAAUUACUGGGCGUAAAGGGUGCGUAGGCUGCGCAGAAAGUCAGGUGUGAAAUCCAGGAGCUCAACUUCUGAAUUGCACCCGAUACUCCUGUGCUAGAGGAUUGGAGAGGAGCUUGGAAUUCUCGGUGUAGCAGUGAAAUGCGUAGAUAUUCGCAAGAACACCAGUGGCGAAGGCGGCUCACUGGCCCGGUACUGACGCUGAGGUGACGAAAGCGUGGGGAGCAAACAGG